GAUGAACGCUGGCGGCGUGCCUAAUACAUGCAAGUCGAGCGAACAGACCAGGAGCUUGUUCCUCUGACGUUAGCGGCGGACGGGUGAGUAACACGUGUAUCACCUACUUAUAUGUCUGGGAUAACUUCGGGAAACCGGAGCUAAUACCGGAUAAUAUAUUGAUCCGCAUGGUUCAAUAGUGAAUGUCGGUUUUGCUGUCUCUUAUAGAUGGAUCUGGGCCGCAUUAGCUAGUUGGUAGGGUACCGGCUUACCAAGGCAACGAUGCGUAGCCGACCGGAGAGGGGGAUCGCCCACACUGGAGGUGAGACGGGCACCUGGGUCCUACGGGAGGCAGCAGUAGCGAAUCGUCCGCAAUGGGCGGAAGCCUGACGGAGCAGGGCGACGUGAGUGAUGGAGGUCUUCGGAGCGGAAUACUCUGUUAUGAGUGAAAAACAACUGUGGAAUUAACUAUGCACGUCGUGACGGUACCUAAUCAGAAAGCCACGGCUAACUACGUG
rnacentral:rRNA from 1 species